UCUGGAUGUUCCCCCACUAGAAUCUGGAUGUGGCUUCUCAAAUCUUGAAGUGGCCCCCGAAUCUGGAUGUGCCCCCCCGGUAAUUCAUCCGGGCGAGGAAGAGGAGGUGACGCAGCCCAAGAAUAAUAACCGGGGGGGAGUAUUAAUAGCAGUCCCCCCCCGGCUUAUUGUUCCCCCAAGGUCAUGUUAAAAGUCGGGCCAUCUUUGGCGAUGGGAAAGAGCCGAAGGAAAAAGGCCACGAGCGCCGCGGGCCCGGAGGGUCCCCGGGUGGCCCCGAGCACGCCCAGGCGGCCCCGAAUGCCCCCAGGGGACCUCAACUCCCACAAGGAUCCCCAAAUAAUUCAAGAGAGACAAACUCCGUGGAGGACCCCAACUCCUACAAGAAUCCCCCCUCCUUCGGGGAUCCUCCUAACUCCUCUAGGAGACCCCAACUGCUUCAGGGGACCCCAGCUACGUGGUACCCAAUUCCUUUAGGGGAUCCCAAAAUCGUGGGGACCCCAACUCCUUUAAGGGCCCCAGCUACUUUAAGGGAUCCCAAAACCACACCGAGCUCACAACUGCUCUAUGGAAUUCUCGCUCUGGGGACCCCAACUCCUGUGAGGAGCCCCAACUCCUGUAGGGGAUUCCACCUCGCGGGACUCUGACUCAUUUCGGGAAUUCCAGCUCCGCGGGGGGCUCCAACUCCUACAAGGGACCUCAACUCCUUUAAGAGACCCUAAGUCCGCGGGUAGAGACCCCAGCUCCCUUCAAGUACCCCAACUCCUUUAGAGGUCUCCGAGUCCUUCGCGGGACCCCAACUCCGGGGCCCCCAACUCCUUUCCGGGACCUCCCAGCUCGGCGAAGGGACCCCAGCCCCAGGCGCGCGGGC